GUAAGUUUCCUGAGGCCUCCCCAGCCAUGCUGAACUGUGCUGACAUCAGGAAAAUAAUAGAAGUUAACGCAGAUAUGGGGCUGCCAUUGAGGAGACAGAAGACUGAAGGAAGCAUAUAGAUAAAAGAUUAUCUGAGUAGGCUGAACCAUCGGUGAAAAGGAGGCCAAGCGUCUCAAAAAUAGAACACCUGAGAGUAUUGAGCCAACGUGACACUCAGAUUUGACACAUACAGAAGCAUGAAAAACUCUUGUGUGACUGGGAUAGCUCCUCUGCAAUAAGAACAUGCCUGGGAUAAUGUACUGAAAAGAAGUGAGAAAUACGUGAAGCAGAGUCCAGUCAUCCCAGCCAAGAACCAGCUGUGAAUGUAACCGCAUGACUUUGAGGCAAGUCCAGACCAAGAACAAAGAACCACUGGUCCUAAAGACAGACCUGCAGAUUCCUGAGCUAAAUAAAA